CGACGUGAGUAACCUGCCUUGGAGUGGGGAAUAACAGUUGGAAACAGCUGCUAAUACCGCAUGAUGCAGUUGAGUCGCAUGGCUCUGACUGCCAAAGAUUUAUCGCUCUGAGAUGGACUCGCGUCUGAUUAGCUAGUUGGCGGGGUAACGGCCCACCAAGGCGACGAUCAGUAGGGGUUCUGAGAGGAAGGUCCCCCACAUUGGAACUGAGACACGGUCCAAACUCCUACGGAAGGCAGCAG
rnacentral:rRNA from 1 species